UACGUAAAUAAGUAAUGAAAAAUAACAAAAGAAUUAGGCUUCUCUAAUUAAACUAACCAGUGCAAGCAAAGCAUUUUAGGCUCCGUUUUAAGCAUAUUUUAACGAUUUAAAAUUUUUUAUAUUAUAAACUUCAUCAAAAAUUUUAAUAUUAUAAAAAAUAGCAUUGACCAAAUAUAGACCAAUAGUCGAAUAUUAAUGUAUCUCAAAAUAAAUUGGUAUAAUUAUAGGGUAAUGCUAUGGGUGUUAGCCCUAUGGCGUCAAUCCGAUUAUGUUGCCAAAUAUGUUGAUGAUAAAAAUUCUAUCUUAUUGCUCUAAUGUAUUUAAAUUCAAGUAUGAUAGUUGCAAGAAAUAUUCAAUGCAAUAUGCUAAGGAGCAAAAAUAUUCGACAGUAUUUGGAUGCAACGUAAGAAGAGGAAGACUUCAAGCACUGAAGAUAUCAAAAAAAUGAAGAACUUUCAUAGGGUAUGUUUUGUAAAGCUCUUGUAUGGUUAAAUUCUUGAGGUCUUAAAAUGACCUUAAUAUCCUUCUUGCAUUUUAAAAAACAAAAAAGCAUUAAAAUUUAAAGUUUUAAAAAUGUGCUAGCAAUAAUUAUUAUUUUGAAAAUUUAAUUACAACUUUGAAAAAGAGCUAGAAAUAAUUUUUGAUUUUGAAAAUUUGAUUUUCAAGUUUGAAAAAAUAGCUAGCAAUAAUUUUUGACUUUGAAAAGUGAUUGCAAUUUUGAAAAAUAUGCUAGACAACAAUUUCUGAUUUUGAAAAUUGAUUCCAUUUUGAAAAUUUGGAUAGCAAAACAAUUUCUGACUUUGGAAAAUGUGGUUGCAACUUUGAAAAAUGGUUUAAAAGAAUUUCUGACUUUGAAAAAUGUAGUUGCAACCUUUGAAAAUUUGAAUAGCAACAAUUUCUGACUUUGAAAAUUUGAUUUCCAAGUUUGAAAAUUGGUUAGAAAUAAUUUUAAUUUGAAAAAUUUCAUUCUCAAGUUUGAAAAUUUAGUUAGCAAAAUUUGACUUUGAAAAUUUGAUUCCACUUUUGAAAAUUUGGAUAGCAACAAUUUCUGACUUUGAAAAUGUGGUUGCCACUUUGAAAAUGGUAAAAAGAAUUUUUUCUUACUUUGACAAUGUAGUUGGCAACUUUUGAAAUUUGAAUAGCAAACAAUUUCGACUUUGCAAUUGAUUCCAAUUUUCGAAAAUUGGUUAGAAAUAAUGUCUAACUUUGAAAUUUAAUGCCAAGUUUGAAAAUUUAGUUGCAACAAUGUCUGACUUUGAAAAUUUGAUUCCAACUUUGAAAAUGUGAUUUUCAAAUUUGAAAUGGGGCCACUUAGCAAAAUUUCAAGAGGUUCCCUCAACGGAACGGUAUAUUGGCGGGGGUUUGCUAAGGGGCCAUAAAUACAUAUCUUAUCUCUUAUUUAACCAAGUUAAACCAAGUGAGAAGGGAAUAAGCUUAGGAAACUCAAAGGCGAUACUUCUUUCAAUUUCCUUUGAGCCUGUUCAAGUUUAAUUCAUAGCGCAGAGGUUCUAGUGAGGGAUGGGAUAUCAGGUUGGGUGAAAGCUUCAGUUUGUCGUAUCCUUGGUCGCAAAAAUGAGAUUGUUAUUGUUGGAGGGAGAGAAGGUGCAUCAAGUGGUCCUUUCACGUCUAUUGUAUCAAGAGGGGUGUGGUGUGAUCCUUAUGGUUGUGUGACCCUUGUGAGGUGAGAAGAUGUUUUUUCACUUGAAGAAGAGUGGGUGUGCUCGUGACGUGUAAGGUUUGAACUCCACCCGUAAGGGUUUGGUUAGUGAUGAAAUCUCAAGUGUGUCUUGAGGAGUGGCACAAGCUUAGUCUGAAGACCGAACCACUAUAAAUCGCCAAAACAAAUCGCCGAGUUUGAAUCUCUCUCCCUAUCUCUUGAUUAUUGAGUUCAUUUAUAUUCUUGCAUUAUAUGGCUUUUUAAUUGUUCUAAACUCUAAUUGGUAUAAUUUUUAAAUAAAGAAAAGUUCGCCAACAAACCCUAUUCACCCCCUUCUAGGGUUGAUAUCUGGGCACAAUGGAUACCCCAUAAUUUGUAUCCCAAAUGCACAACUGAUGAGGUGUCGCCAUUGGGUUGUUGGGUGUAGGGAUUCACCCAGUCCAUUUCAGCCCACACCAAGCUAACCAAUGCGAACCUCAUCACUAGUGUGCAUUUGGGGUUGCAAUGUAGGGCGGAUACGCUAUAAUAUUUUCCAUAAUUAUACGUGUCACACUUAUUCCUUAAAUUAUAAAAUAGUACUCAACAAAUAUUAAAUUAUGUCUGAUCAUCGUGAAUUUUUACAGUACUGAUCUUUAUGACGAAUUUAUAGUAUAAACAGUUUGAAUAAUGAAAAUAAACUCAAAAUAAGAGUAAAAUGUUUAACUCCAUUGAUGCUGUUUAUUUUCAUGGAGGAGCCAUGUCCACAUACCAUGAUACCAAGAACAAUUGACCGCAUAUAAAGACUAAUAUGUCAGGGUAAGGCUAUGGGUACAAUACAUAGUGCAUCCAAAAUGCAUAUCUGAU
rnacentral:lncRNA from 1 species